rnacentral:rRNA from 1 species
UGAAAAAGAACCUGAAACCGUGUACGUACAAGCAGUGGGAGCACCCUUUUGGGUGUGACUGCGUACCUUUUGUAUAAUGGGUCAGCGACUUAUAUUCUGUAGCAAGGUUAACCGAAUAGGGGAGCCGCAGGGAAACCGAGUCUUAACCGGGCGUUAAGUUGCAGGGUAUAGACCCGAAACCCGGUGAUCUAGCCAUGGGCAGGUUGAAGGUUGGGUAACACUAACUGGAGGACCGAACCGACUAAUGUUGAAAAAUUAGCGGAUGACCUGUGGCU